CCUUGCCAGCCCGCUCAGAAACUUAAAUGAAUUGACGGGGCCCGCACAAGCGGUGGAGCAUGUGGUUUAAUUCGAUGAUACGCGAGGAACCUUACCUGGGCUCAAAUGUAUGUUGACGUAUUCUGAAAGGGAUACUUCUUCGGACAAUAUACAAGGUGCUGCAUGGUUGUCGUCAGCUCGUGCCGUGAGGUGUCGGGUUAAGUCCCAUAACGAGCGCAACCCUACCUUUAGUUGCCAUCAGGUAAUGCUGGGGACUCUAAAGGAACUGCCUACGCAAGUAGUGAGGAAGGCGGGGAUGACGUCAAAUCAGCACGGCCCUUACGUCCAGGGCUACACACGUGCUACAAUGGCCGAUACAGAGGGCAGCUACCUGGUGACAGGAUGCAAAUCUCCAAAGUCGGUCUCAGUUCGGAUCGGAGUCUGCAACCCGACUCCGUGAAGUUGGAUUCGCUAGUAAUCGCGCAUCAGCCAUGGCGCGGUGAAUACGUUCCCGGGCCUU
rnacentral:rRNA from 1 species